rnacentral:rRNA from 1 species
UACGUAGGGUGCAAGCGUUUAAUCGGAAUACUGGGCGUAAAGCGUGCGCAGGCGGUUUUGUAAGUCUGUCGUGAAAUCCCCGGGCUCAACCUGGGAAUUGCGAUGGAGACUGCAAGGCUAGAAUCUGGCAGAGGGGGGUAGAAUUCCACGUGUAGCAGUGAAAUGCGUAGAGAUGUGGAGGAACACCGAUGGCGAAGGCAGCCCCCUGGGUCAAGAUUGACGCUCAUGC